rnacentral:tRNA from 1 species
AUUCCAGUAGCUUAACAAUCAAAG